UACAGAGGUCUCAAGCGUUGUUCGGAUUCAUUGGGCGUAAAGGGUGUGUAGGUGGCGCCGUAAGUCGGGUGUGAAAUCUCGGGCUUAACUCCGAAACUGCAUUCGAUACUGCGGUGCUUGAGGAGCUGGAGAGGAGACUGGAAUUUACGGUGUAGCGGUGAAAUGCGUAGAUAUCGUAAGGAACACCGGUGGCGAAGGCGGCGAUCCUGGACCGGCAUUGACGCGUGAGGCGCGGAAAGCCAGGGGAGCAAACGGG
rnacentral:rRNA from 1 species